rnacentral:rRNA from 1 species
UACAGAGGGUGCGAGCGUUAAUCGGAAUUACUGGGCGUAAAGGGCGCGUAGGCGGCUAUCCAAGUGGCGGGUGAAAUCCCUCGGCUUAACCGAGGAACUGCCUGCCAGACUGGAUGGCUCGAGACCGGGAGAGGUGAGUGGAAUUCCCAGUGUAGCGGUGAAAUGCGUAGAUAUUGGGAGGAACACCAGUGGCGAAGGCGGCUCACUGGACCGGAACUGACGCUGAGGCGCGAAAGCGUGGGGAGCAAACAGGG